AUUGAACGCUGGCGGCAGGCCUAACACAUGCAAGUCGAACGAGUGGCGGACGGGUGAGUAAUGUAUGGGAAACUGCCUGAGGGAGGGGGAUAACUACUGGAAAGGGUAGCUAAUACCGCAUACCAUCGGAUGUGCCUAGAUGGGAUUAGCUAGUAGGUGGGGGAAAGGCUCACAUAGGCGACGAUCCCUAGCUGGUCUGAGAGGAUGACCAGCCACACUGGAACUGAGACACGGUCCAGACUCCUACGGGAGGCAGCAGUGGGGAAUAUUGCACAAUGGGCGAAAGCCUGCUGCAGCCAUGCCGCGUGUAUGAAGAAGGCCUUCGGGUUGUAAAGUACUUUCAGCGGGGAGGCGUUACCCGCAGAAGAAGCACCGGCUAACUCCGUGCCAGCCGCCGCGGUAAUUC
rnacentral:rRNA from 1 species